rnacentral:rRNA from 1 species
GAGCUGGGUUGGGUCGCAGAGACCAGAGAGAAGCGACUGUUUACUAAAAACACAGGUCCGUGCGAAGUCGUAAGACGAUGUAUACGGACUGACGCCUGCCCGGUGCCGGAAGGUUAAGAGGACCGGUUAGCGCUUUUGGCGCGAAGCUGAGAAUUUAAGCCCCGGUAAACGGCGGUGGUAACUAUAACCAUCCUAAGGUAGCGAAAUUCCUUGUCGGGUAAGUUCCGACCUGCACGAAUGGCGUAACGACUUCUCUGCUGUCUCAACCACAGACUCGGCGAAAUUGCAUUACGAGUAAAGAUGCUCGUUACGCGCGGCAGGACGAAAAGACCCCGGGACCUUCACUAUAGCUUGGUAUUGGUGUUCGGUACGGUUUGUGUAGGAUAGGUGGGAGACUGUGAAGCGGGCACGCCAGUGUUCGUGGAGUCGUCGUUGAAAUACCACUCUGGUCGUAUUGGACUUCUAACCUCGGACCAUGAUCUGGUUCAGGGACAGUGCCUGGUGGGUAGUUUAACUGGGGCGGUUGCCUCCCAAAAUGUAACGGAGGCGCCCAAAGGUUCCCUCAGCCUGGUUGGCAAUCAGGUGUCGAGUGCAAGUGCACAAGGGAGCUUGACUGUGAGACUGACAGGUCGAGCAGGGACGAAAGUCGGGACUAGUGAUCCGGCACCGGCAUGUGGAAGCGGUGUCGCUCAACGGAUAAAAGGUACCCCGGGGAUAACAGGCUGAUCUUCCCCAAGAGUCCAUAUCGACGGGAUGGUUUGGCACCUCGAUGUCGGCUCGUCGCAUCCUGGGGCUGGAGUAGGUCCCAAGGGUUGGGCUGUUCGCCCAUUAAAGCGGCACGCGAGCUGGGUUUAGAACGUCGUGAGACAGUUCGGUCUCUAUCCGCCGCGCGCGUCAGAAACUUGAGGAAGGCUGUCCCUAGUACGAGAGGACCGGGACGGACGAACCUCUGGUGUGCCAGUUGUCCUGCCAAGGGCACUGCUGGUUAGCUACGUUCGGAAGGGAUAACCGCUGAAAGCAUCUAAGCGGGAAGCCUGUUCCAAGAUGAGGUUUCUCACCCCUUCGAGGGGUUAAGGCCCCCCACAGACCAUGGGGUUGAUAGGCCAGAACUGGAAGCACGGUAACGUGUGGAGGUGACUGGUACUAAUCGGCCGAGGACUUACCAAC